rnacentral:lncRNA from 1 species
CAAAAGACAAAAAGAAGCAUCACCAACUCCUUUGAAUCAUGUAUCAAUGCAUCAUAUCUGUGGGUAACCAAAUCAAAAUACUUGGCUAGGAUUUAAGGUCAAACUAGUUAGGAACUCAAACAUGAGAGAAAUGUCAUACAUGGAAUUUGUCAAAACCUCUGUGAUAAUCGUUGCUUUGUGAAUUCAGGCUUUACAACAAAGCUAAAGAUUCCAUCCGUGCGUUAAACUUGUUUGUGGAUAUCAUGGAGGUGAACUUUUGUUCAAAGCUGCGGAAUGGAUAAGAGAGGCAGAGUACGUAUUGGUUGUAACAAGUGUUUACUGGUGAUCCUCACAUCACCAUAUUCUCAUUUGAAAGAAUGGAAGAUGUGAAUUGGGCUUCCAAAAAAGGUGUUACUGUAUCAUGGAUAAGUUUAUUAAUCUUUAUCUCAUUGGCAAGAAGGUUUUCUGGAUUGUAGAAUUGGAUCUGCCCCAACUUAGUAUUGGUUGGCAUUUGCGAGUCUCCUUUAUGAAUCUUUGGUAUAUAUCUUUAUAGGCUUGUAUCUAGUUAUAGCCCUUCUAGUCAAGACUGAAUAAUGUAUCGGCAAGAUUUGUGGUUGGGAAAUUAGCUCGAUGCUUGAGACAGAUAUAUAGCAGGGGUUAUACUUCGGUAGCCAUAUGGGGCUGUGGAUAUAUCAAAUCGUAGUAGUAGAUGUUUGAAGGGUGGAGUAACAAAUUUUUAAAGCCACGGGUAUCAUAUGCUAGUGCUAGAUGGGGCUAUGGAGGAGCACCAGCAUAGGAAAAAAUUAGGGACAGCUGUCAUUAGUGUUGUAGUGAUGUGCAGAAUGGGUCUGAAACAUCUCACAGGAAGGAGGAUGCCUUUCAAAUUGAGACACAACAGGCGACAAGGAGGCCACUGGAGACUUAGAUGAAGUUGAAUGAUGAACUGAUGCAAAUAGAUUGCAUAAAUUUUCUUGUUUGUGUUUACAGUUUGAUUUGAAGGUUUAAUAUGUGAAAACAUUAAUUAGCUAGUACAAAGAAGGCAGAACCCUUAUGUUGUUGCAUUUGUAUGCUGUAUUGUUAGGCUUAGCAUAUCUUGACUGGCCACUGAAUAUGGAACAUAUUUCCAAAUUUUCGUUUGACGGGAACAGAGAGCAUGGUGCCCUCAGUUUUGUUUGUUUAAUGAAACUGUUAAAUUCAAUGACCUAAUCAUCUUUUUGCUGCUUGUAGAAUAAAAGAGGACAGAGAAAAAAAACCUGAUUGUGGAUUUAUGUCAUGUUAACUCUGAUCUUUCUUGUCUUCAAACAUCAUUUACGUCUGCAUGAUCAUUUCCCAACCUGUAAUCCGAUGGCAUUUGUUUGAUUUAGAUUAUUCUGUGUGAUGCUUGUCUUACUGUAAUUUGCAGGUUGCUGAACACCUCUUGACUGAGGAGUCUUUUGACGCAAACAUCCGUGAUUACUCGAAACUAAUCGAUGCCCAUGCUAAGGCAGACCGCAUAGAAGAUGCUGAGAGGAUUCUGCAGAAAAUGACUGAAAGGGGUAUCAAGCCUGAUGUUCUCACAUCCAUCAUCUUAGUUCAUAUGUACAGCAGGGCAGGCAACCUUGAUCGUGCAAAGGAGGCAUUCGAAAGCUUAAGGAAGGAGGGUUUUCAACCAGAUUUGAAGGUUUACAGUUCAAUGAUCACAGCUUAUGUGAAGGCCGGCAUUCCAAAGCAAGGCGAGGCACUGGUAAGAGAAAUGGAGUCGAGAGAUAUCAAACCCACCAAGGAGAUCUACAUGGAGCUGCUGCAAGCAUUCGGGGAGCGCGGCCAAGUUGACGGAGCGCAGAGGAUAAUGAACACAAUGCAAUUUGCUGGAAUCCAACCGACUCUGGAGUCCUUUACAUUGCUCAUCGAGUCCUAUGGCCAGGCAGGCGAUCCUGAUCAGGCUCGGGGCCACUUUGAUCACAUGAUGAAAGCCGGCCACAAGCCGGAUGAUCGAUGCACCGCCAGCAUGAUGGCUGCAUAUGUCAAGAAGAAUCUCCUGGACAAAGCCUUGGACCUGCUUCUUACUCUUGAGAGGGAUGGAUUCCGACCAGGUAUUGCAACAUACGCCGUUCUGGUUGACUGGUUAGGCAGGUUGCAGCUAGUGGAAGAGGCAGAGAGGUUGCUGAACAAGAUAACUCAAAUGGGAGAAGCUCCCUUUGAGAUCCAUGUUAGCCUGUGUGACAUGUAUUCUAGGGCGCAGCAAGGGGAGAAGGUUCGCAAGUCUCUCAAGAUUUUGGAGGCAAGGAAAAAGUUACUGAGAGCUGAUCAGUUUGAGAGGAUUGUAAGUGGUCUUUUGGCAGGUGGGUUUGUGGAAGAUGCGAAGAGGAUAAACAAUGCAAUGGAAGCACGGGGCUUUACCCCAUCGGAGCCGACUAGGGUAGCGCUCAUGGCAGCCCAAUCCAUCCCUCGCCAGAAAUCAUCAAGGAGAGGUGGUAAAGCAUGAGAGGGAGUCUCUUACCUAAGUUCAGGUCUAAGCACAAAGAUUUUGAUAGAUUUAUGCUGCAAGUUUUAUGUUUGCAAGCUUCUUGUGUAGCUCUUUUACAGUUGCAUGUGUAUCAUGCCUUUCGGAUGCUAUCAGCGGAAUGCUGAAUAUUUAAGUAGCUGACUGAAUUCUCCUCGUGCUUUACGUACUGCAAUCAACUGCUCGGGUUUGCUGUUAUGUAUUCUUUUGUGAACAAUUUGUUGGUCCCCUAAAUAAAUACGGAGAAGCAGGCAGUGCUGGCUAACACAAAUUGUAUGUCCAAUUUUUCUUUGUUUGCUUUGCCUGUUUCCGCUUCAUUUUUUCUGGGCAGUUUAUGUUGGGAAGCUGCUCUUGAGACAGCAUUCUCGUUACUAAAACAAAGCUUUAGUUGCAUGCAAGUCGUGAUAAUGGCACCCAAAUGAAAACGCAAACCACCAAACAAACUCUUACAUGUUCAUACAUACGAUGAAAUCCAGACGCAUGAAUACAACACACUGGUAAAAACAAACAAAGAGGGCUGGAAGAAUAGCUUGCCGGAUGUCAUGGGCGAUUAGAUCACAGACUGUUCGCCAGCAUCUGCCAAACAGAAACCGGAAAAAAAAGAAGAUGAUCAGCGUUAACUAGAAGUGAAGAUUAAAUAUUAGUUGGAGAAGAUUUACCAAUCAAUGAAUACCUUUGCCGGGGACGAUGAUGACAGGUGCUGCUUUGCAAUUGUGGAAGCAAUAUUCGCUGACGCUGCCUUGCAGCACGCUGCAAUAUAGGAAAUGUUAAAUACGACAACAACGGUCGAUCUUUGAUAAUAUAAUUAGAUAUUUAUCAUUACCUCUGGAGGAUGCUGCGGCCACGGGUGCCCAUGAUGACGGCCGCCGGCUUCAGCUUCUCCGCCUCUCCGCAUAUCGCCUUCCCGGCGUGACCUUCCACGAUUCUGGCCUUCGUCCUCACCUAAUAAAAAAUUCAAAAUACCCAAAUUACCCUUGCCCGCCUUCCGCUCUCUUUUCCCGGGGCCUCCUCGAAGGAAAAAGGGAAGAAAAAGGAGAAUGGGGAAAACAGUACCAUGGCCACCUGGAAGGCCUCGACCGCCAGCUUCUCCAUCAGCUCCCGGCUUGUCUCGUACACCAGAUCGUUAUGCACACCUAUGGAUUUAUAAAUCAUUAGAAAUAUUUAUAUAUACGAGGGGAAGAAAAAGAGAAUUCGGUGAGGAGAAGAGGGGGUAUUCUGGUCCAUUUGCGCAUACUACUUACUGGAGACGGCGUGGAUGAGGUGAAGGGUAUCGGCGAGGCGGCAGAGGUGGACGAGGGCCCAGUCGAAGGCGUGCUUGCUGUUGGGCCCGUGGUCGACCGCGAUGAGGAUGUCCCUCCCCCGCCGCCGCUCGCCGGUCUCCCUCUCCAGCUCCGGUUCCGGCACCACCGGAAUCAGCGAUGGCAGCACCACCUCCCUCCAGCUGUACUCCUCCACCGCCUCCUCCAACGGCUCCAUCGAUGGAUGAUGAUUAUGAGUAUUACUGCUAUUAAUCGAGUGGAUGGAGAAGAGAGAAUAGAGGAGAAGGGACGAAAGAGAUGAAAAGAACAGGACAAAGCUAAAGAGGAGGACAACAACUAUAACUAGGUUUGGGGAUUUCGCGUACGCGCCCUCGGCUUUUUCUAGAAGGUGGAUUGGGUGGAUGAGCUACGAAAGCCAUUCUGAGGAAUCUUGGUCAAAUUAUUUUAGAAGACGGGGAAACUAAAUCGACAUCCCGGAUUUAGGAAAAGAUGUUUCAAGAAAAAAUAUUAAUUAUCUGAUAAGAAACUGUGAUGAGUUAAUUUUCUGAUUCAAGCAUUGGGCUAAUUGGGCAGCUAAAAUGGAGAUCGGUUCCAACUAGAUGACUUGCUAAUUUAAGAAAGGACUAUGUUGUUUAUUUUUUUUAAAAAAAUGAUUAAAUGAUUUAAUCAUGAUCUUGUCAUAAAUAUAUAGUUAUCUGCCGUUAUAUUAGGACUUGAGAAGGGAAGACUUUAUGUCCAACAUGAUUUGCUGCAUAGACGGUUAAAUCUAUAACCCUAUAUUUAUAGUGUUUAUUUUUUUUUAGAUAAAACAGAUGGUUUAGGAUAUUGUAAAAAACAAUUAGAAUGCUCUAGAAUGCUCUAUCACAAAAGCACCACUCUCAGGAUCGAGACAUCAAAAAUCAAUGACCCACCUGCUGCAAUCAACUUCGAGUAGGGGCAUUGGAUCAUGAACCAAGCUCCAUCUUUAUAGCCUUUGCCAAUCAUACAACCAUUGAAACUGAUUUUGAAAAUAUAAAUCAACCAAAACGAUGUAGGAGCAGAAAGCGAGUCCCACCAGCGCAUGCUAGGGCUUUAAUAAUUGAAACGUGCAUGUGCUAUCACACACGGAAAUUUUUGAUAUCCAACUAAAAUGGCCGAUUUGUAGUACCGAUUUUGCAUAAUAUUGGGAAGAGUGGAACUUCGUGCAUCGACCCAAAUAAAAAUAAAUGCAUGUAUUCCUCCAAGGAUAAGAUCGCAUUAAGUUCGAAAAUAUAUAUUUUUAAUGAAAAGAAUAGUAUAUCUUUUUUAUAAAUGUAAAUAGGAAUUUGUUUUAUCUGCACCCUAAACCCAAGGCCACGCGGCAGGGUAUCAACCUCCGUACGACAAAGUGAAAGCGAGCUGGUCACCGUUGAUUUGGCGCGGCUGCGACCUGUCGGUGCGGAAAAGUCAUAGCGUGUCGGAAUGGAACUCGUGGUUGCAAGUUUCCUGCAAGGCGGACAGCACCCUGCCACGUAAUGCUCCCACCAUAUCUGACUCGAAUCUAGUAUACGUGUCAGGAUGCUAGACCCUAGCACGCCUGUGUAUGUUGGCUGACAUCACGAGCGGGAUCGGCUUCCUGCGAUGAAUAGUAGCAGUGGCACAUGCGUGCGCGCUUCUACAGCUUGGACCGAAGAAAGGUCCAUCCUGGUUGGAAAUGGAUCGCAGACCUGAAGAAAGCACGGUGGCGUAGCAGCUGACCGAAUCUAAGCGCCAUGACAAAGAUAUAUUUGAUGCAGAAAGUAAAUUUAAAUGGUAAAAGAAGUUAAAUAAAUACACAUACUAGACAAGCCUCAACAAAAGUAGAUUCAGAUUAAAAUUCUGGUCGUGUCAAAGAUACAUCUGCUGCAAAAACUAGACUAUACUUGACGUGAAGUGAAAAUUAAUACACAAGUUUAUAUGGACCGUUCCCUUUUGCCUGGCUACACCAGCCACAGCAAAAAUAGUCGCACAGGCUUAUGUAAAUGAUAGCAACUGCGUUCUGUUGCCAGCAGGGAUUAACCUAGCAAUUUGGUGCCCUCCUGAUGAAGGAGGCGGGAGUUUCAAGUCUCAUGAUGUGCAUCAAGGAUUCUGAAUUAAUAUGGCUGUAGGAACUUUGUGAAAACGAGGUAAAAUUGGAGCUUGAGAGACGGUGUUAUGUAAAAAACCAAUUUCGUCCCAAGUUAACACAGACAAAUAUUAAACUUUAGAAGGGAAUGGAGUAGAAGAUUUCUGAACCUAGACAGUUUCAUGUACAGCUGAAGAAUGGUUGGCCGAUCAUCAAGAUUCAAAAUAAUGUGCGAGGUCAAUGCACAGCCAUAUUUUUUUUCUAAGAAUUAGUCUAAUCCUCUAUUCUGAACUCUGCUAACAAAGGUUCAACCAAUUCAGGUAAUGGCUGUUGUAGGCUAAGACUUGAAAUUCCUCGAGCAGUUUCUUGGGUAAACCAAUCCUGAAAAACUACCACGAGUCCCUGAAGAAUCGGAUGCAAACUUAUUAGAACAAGUUUGCCACACAAACAAAUACCGAUCCCCAUCAGCCACUCCAACAGAAAUACCGAUCAGGAGGAUUCGAGCUCCACCACCAUCGCCCUCACCGUCGCUGUCACAGAAAUCAUCUCAGAAGCAGCCAGCAGAACAAACAUAGCUGCAGCAACCAUCACCAUCUUCUAGAAGAUCUUCAGAGCCAUCUCCAACUCCAACAAGGUCAAGAUCUCCCUCACCACCCCAAGAAACCUCCGAGCCACAACAAGAAGCAACAACUCAGGAAGUGUCUCAGCCCCCGUUGAGCCAUUCUCUCAGACCACCGCGCAACCCCAACCCGAGCCUUCAAAUAGACCUCAAGCACAAGAACAAAGCCCAUCCAAACCAGUUCCAGCUGCUCCAGGAGAACCGAGGCUGGAAACCAGCCCACAGAGCACUUGGAGCCUAAAACAUAUCCGUUGAUACUGCUCGUAGCACAACUCGUAGCCAAAAUCAUAUAUCUGAAAGAGAACCUGAGGAAAUCACGGAAGAAAAUUCUACAACAAACCUAGCCAAGAAACAGGAACCGCCCCUAGUAGAAGAAGGACGCCGAAUAGGUACGGAAUCAGAGGAAGACAGGGAACCAUCCGAGCUCCCACAAGUAGAGGAAAAGCCUCAGAAGGAUGAAGAAUUAAAACAAGACAUGUAAACCUCACAUCAGCUACAAGUAGAAGGAAAACCUGAAAAAAAUAUGGAACCUUGAAGCCCUGAGUCAGAAACUGUAUCUGAAGGAAAUAAAAAUGAUGAGCCUAAAACAAAACCAGAAGUACAGCUAGCCAAGAAAUCAACUUUGUCCAGAUUACAUCCAGCCACAAGAGAGCUCGUAACACAACUUAGAAGCUCAGGGCAACAGGCAAAUCUGAAAGGUUCCAAAGGAAGGGAGAAAACUAUGGGGCCUAGGCCUAGAAGUAUCCCAUGGACUCCACCAUCCCCUGGAGAACGAGCAAGCUUUCAUGAAGAGAUCAAGGAGGGCCUGCCCAAAUUGGUCCAAAAGCUGAAUCUUGGGCAGUUGCAGCAGCUGGGGAAGCGAGGGCACAACAAGAAUCAUAACCUUAGCAGGUGAGAACAAAGGGGCUACCAUGUUUAUAGGACAUGAGACUGCAAACAUGCAAGGCAUCCUCCACACUCGCAGAGGCCGCAGGCUUAACAACAACAAAGCCAAGGCAAGCAGCCGAAAUAAAGAGAUCCAGAAACAGUUGUUGAAUCAUACAGGUAAUAAAAAUCCAGCAAUCACUGCAAGCAUCAAUAGCAAUGUGCAGAGCAUCAACAACUCAUUGCUACAUGAGAGUCCUUGCGGCGGAGGAGAUCCAGGCAUUCACCUGGUUCUCUCUAUCAAACCAGGUAAGCCUCUCAAAUUGAAGGAAAAUGCCGAAUCAAUUGAAACUUUGAGGAGAGCUGUGAGCAGCUCAGAAACUCUCAAACAUCAGGAAGCAUCCUAGAGGACUUCUCAUGGAAUCUAGUGACGGCGACUAGGAGAACCUUCAGAAACCUCGGUAUAGCUGUGAAGAGAAAAGUGAAGGGAAAGGCUGAACAAGAUGGCACUUCCACAAUCAACAGCCAUGCAAAAUAUUCCAAGAAUGUACCAGCGGAGCAUGAAAAAGAUACUAGAAAUUGUUGAUGCUGGCAAUCUCAUUGUAGCUAUCAGAGUGCAACAACUAUCACAGCAACUACCUGGACUCACAUAUACAAAUUAUUUAUACUAUGUAUUGUAAUAAUGCUAUAAAUUAUGUUUCCAUGCAUUAUAAAUGCAACUCAGAUAACUCAAUCAGACCAGACAGGUUUACAUUUGAUAGCAUGAGUUAUGCCCUUCAUGCAAUUGAGAAUACAGUUCAAAUCUCCAUAUAGUUAAUAUAAAAAAUGCAUAAGAAAGGAGUUACAGAUAUGUAAGUGACAACAAGGUUACCUCACUUUCAAGGUAAUUUAGACAUGCA